GGAGGGAGAAGCAGGCUCCCUGCGGGGAGCCUGGUACAGGACUCCAUCCCAGGAUCCCCAGGAUCAUGCCCUGAGCCAAAGGCAGACGCUGAACCACCAAGCCACCCAGGUGCCCUGCCUGCUGAUUCUCAAACUACUUUUCAGAUUCACAUGCUGUCAAAAUCCUCUUGGGUUCAAGGUAAAGCUUCAGUCAGGAGAACUGAUGCACAGAACUGGGAUCAUUGUUCUUAAUAAACACUGUAGACAGCACCAUGCAAAGCCAUAGAAAAUGCUUUCUCCAAGCUUGGGAAGAAGUUACAACCUGCCCUUCCUUUGGUCUAAAGAGAAGGAAGCCUCCUUGGGUACAGACUGAGAUGUAGGCUCCAGUCUUCCUCCUCCCUACAUUUAGAGUAAUGUUUGGCAAAUGAUUCAACCUUACCUUGUUUCAGGUGAAGAGGAAGUACAGAGGCAAUACUGUGAAUUCACCCAGUGUGAUGCUAGGGGACAUAGAGAAAGAUGGUGCUAAAGGGCCCUAGGAAUAUGUUGUGCUAUGUGCACGCUUAUUCAAAGCCUCCAGGCUUUCUGAAUUCUCUUUGGAAUUAAUCCCGUGGGACAGGGCCUCUCUGGAUUUCUUCCCAUCCCUUUUUCUUUUAACUAUUACAGUCUACAAUUUGAAGUUCUGUCAUUUUAAAAACAUCACACAUCCACUUCACCAGCAGCAGAUUUUUCUCUCCAGGCUGUUUCUAGAAGAAUGUGGCUCAUAUUCCCCAGUGAGAGAACAAAUCGAUUAUUCACUAAAUUUUUUUUUAAAGAUUUUAUUUAUUUAUUCAUGAGAGGCACACAGAUAGAAGAGAGACAUAGGCAGAGGGAGAAGCAGGCUCCCUGUAGGGAGCCGGAUAUGGGACUCGAUCCCAGGACCCGGGAUCACAACCUGAGUCAAAGGCACUCAACCAUUGAGCCACCCAGGUGUUCUUAUUUGUUAUAUCUUAUCAAUUAGCUACUACUUCACAGAAAGGAAAUAUAAUGAAAUCAGAAACUUGGAAACACCGGCAAUUGCGUUGUCCUGGGUUUUCCUGUGGAGUAUAACAAAGCACCAUAGGACAUUCAUCCAGGCACAGAGAUAAAUUCUGAAGAAUUUGCUGAAUCUCUUUAGAAUUAAUCCAGGGAGCUGGCCUCUCUUCUCCUGAGAAUUACUUGGUUUAAAGAUUCAUGGGGAUAAUUUACAGUGUUUAGUUUCACAUUUAAAUUUAAUCUUCUCCAUCUGUGUUUUGGGGUAACAUAGGCAAAUUUUUUUUUCCACUUUCACCCUUUCUAACCUCUUAAACCAAGUCCAAAACUCAUUAAUCUUCUUGCUGUUACAAUAUUUCAGUUUCUCUUUUUGGUUUUCUCUCUGGUAGUCAUGUUUACCCUGUAUCACUUGAACUCCAGUGCCACAUAACUCCCCAAGGAUGGAGUCAUUCUUUAAAGAUGACUGAUCCUGCGGGCAGGUUGAGGGUCCAUCUGUUCUGUGACUGUUUCCAUGGAGGUCUCCCUUCUUCAACUCGUGGCAGUUGGGCAGAGCCCUGUGAUGCUAGGCCACAUAAAUAAGAUCCGUAGGUGGAAGGGCUUUGGUCCCUAAAGCCCUCUGCUCCAGUUUCCAUAGAAACAAGCUAACGGUGAUACCCACCACAGGGCUCUUAAAGCCACAGAUACUUUAUUCUGAGAAUUCCAUUGUGUUACAAAUACCACUCAACAAUAGUUUUUUAAAAAAAAUUUUUAAAGAUUUUAUUUAUUCAUGAAAGACACAGAGAGACAGGCAGAGACAUAGGCAGAGGGAGAAGCAGGCUCACUGCAGGGAGCUUGAUGUAGGACUUGAUCCCAGGACCCCGGGAUCCUGCUCUUAGCCAAAGGCAGACGCUCAAACACUGAGCCACUGAGGUGUCUCUCAGCAAUAGCUUUUAAAGGCAUAAUCUACUUCAUUGCUCUGGAUGGGUUUUGCUAAGGCUUUCAAUUCCUUGUUGCAACCCUACCUCCUUUAAAAUAAUUAUUUUUGUUGUUGCUUUUAUUUUAUAUAUACAUGUAUGUAUGUAGGCUCCAUGCCCAGCAUGAAGCCCAAUGCAGGGCUUGAACUCACAACUCUGAGAUUAAGACCUGAGCUGAGGUCAAGAGUUGGGCAUUUAACUGAUUGAACCACCCAGGCAUCUCUGCUGUUGCUUUGAAACUUCAUGGGAAAAAGUGACCAUUUCAUGCCAGUUGAGUUAUAGAUUCUGAACAGAUGGUUUAAGAUAAUUUAUUAUGCCUUAUGUAUUUACGUUUAUUACAUUUGUUCCUAAAGUUUUGGGAGAAAAUUUAGUUCCAACUAAAGAGUCAUAAUUAAAAGAGCAAAGAAAAAAAAAAAAAAAAAGAG